rnacentral:rRNA from 1 species
GUACUCGAGUGGCGAACGGGUGAGUAACACGUGGGUGAUCUGCCCUGCACUUCGGGAUAAGCUUGGGAAACUGGGUCUAAUACCGGAUAGGAGCCAUCUUUAGUGUGGUGGUUGGAAAGUUUUUUCGGUGUAGGAUGAGCUCGCGGCCUAUCAGCUUGUUGGUGGGGUAAUGGCCUACCAAGGCGGCGACGGGUAGCCGGCCUGAGAGGGUGUACGGCCACAUUGGGACUGAGAUACGGCCCAGACUCCUACGGGAGGCAGCAGUGGGGAAUAUUGCACAAUGGGCGCAAGCCUGAUGCAGCGACGCCGCGUGGGGGAUGAAGGCCUUCGGGUUGUAAACUCCUUUCGCUAGGGACGAAGCUUUGUUGUGACGGUACCUAGAUAAGAAGCACCGGCUAACUACGUGCCAGCAGCCGCGGUAAUACGUAGGGUGCGAGCGUUGUCCGGAACUACUGGGCGUAAAGGGCUCGUAGGUGGUUUGUCGCGUCGUCUGUGAAAUUCUGGGGCUUAGCUCCGGGCGUGCAGGCGAUACGGGCAUAACUUGAGUGCUGUAGGGGUAACUGGAAUUCCUGGUGUAGCGGUGAAAUGCGCAGAUAUCAGGAGGAACACCGAUGGCGAAGGC